AGCAGUUACCUCUAAACACACUCGAGCGUACUGCCUUCAAGGAGCCUCCUGUCUAGCUGCACAGACAAAUAUCCACAAAUAACAGGGCAAACUGUAUUCAUAUUAUGGGCAAGGUGGCUCUGGGAAUGGUAGCACAAAGUAAAGAGAGGCUCUGGGAAGAUGUUGUGGGAGGAGAAAUGUAUAUGAGCUAUGUUUUGAAAACUGGGUAGCAUUUAGUUUUUGUGUACGUUCAAACUUUGAAGGUAUUGUCCCACCCCACCCCCCAGCCUUGUUAAAAAAAAAAAAAUGCUGUCAUAAGUUAUUGGCUUAAGUUAUUUGGCUUUGCAGAGCAUAUUAGCAUCUUUUAUAGUUGGUGCCACUUUUUUGUGGCAUACAAAAAAGUGUAGGAUUCCACAUAGCCCCAUACAGGUAGGGUCCAGACUUAUUUAAGAUGACCCUGUAAUAUCACAAAAAGAGCAGUGGAAUUGGAAUUAGAAGACCUGGGUGCAAAAAUUUUAUGGUUUUUGUACUUCAAGAAAGAACUCUGAACUUCUUUGAAAGGAAGGAAAUUAAACGGGGGAAAGAAAAAAAAAACUUGGUCUCUGACUUGGUCUCUUAGAAGUUUAUGAUCAGAGUUGGAAAAUGUGUAGCGCAUUUCCUAGGUGCCCAAGAAUUCUGCGGCCCCCCAGAAGGUAUGGGAGUUGAACUAGGUACUAAGGAGAGGCAUACUGUUGGAUGGCUACCUAAAAUGAUAUGGAGGGUUAUGGCAGGCCCUGAAAAUCGCCCCAAAAGUUGUAAUUUGCUUAGACUAGUUGAAAGCCUUAAUGCAAAUAUUUGCAUAUUAAAGAACAAUCAUUAAUAUCUUUACACCUCUGUUAAAUGAAGUGGUAGGUUCAGUGAUUGUAGGACUAAAUGUAGCAUUAACAAAAAUCCUAAUAAAAAUAGAGUGAUCCUAUAGGAAAAAUGACCUUAAACUCUGUUCUUUAGGAAAAUACCCCAUUGUUUUUGUCAUUCAGAUUAAAAGAGUUUUUGCUUAAUUGCUUUUCAAAUGAAAAUACAAUUCUGAAAAGAAGAUAGUGGUAAAAGCUUUUUGUAAAUAUAAAAUGUUAGCUUUUAAAAAUUUAAUUUCUUUCAUUUUUCCAUUUCUUCUCCUGCAAAAGAUAAUGGCAUUUCCCUUAAGAGGAAAGACAUUUUUGAAAUGGAGUUAAAUUAUUAUUUGAGAAUAAGGCUUGUCUCUGUCCUUCUACUAUAUUCCAACUACUUAGGAAGAGACCUUAUAGUCCUUGCAGCAGCUUCCUCUGUCUGCAUGCCUUUCAUGAUCUGGGCAAUAGAAAGAUUAGCAGGUGAUUUCCUCUUUCCUCUAGACAGAUUCCCACUUGCACAGUUGCCCGUCCUCUAGUUUUUUCCCAGUGAUGCAGGGUACUGUUGUGAUGCUGAACUUUCUUUUAAGAACUACUGGAGGCCAUAUUUAUGAAACAGGCAGUUAAUAGGGAGAUUUGUGAUAACAAUUUUGGAAUGCUUGAUUCUAAUAUGUUCUUAUUUACUUUCUUAAACUAAUUUAGAGUUUCUUGCUAUCCUUUUUUUAAAAUCAGUCUUCAUGUGAUUUCCUUUCUCCAUAAUAUAGUAUUUUAAUUUUUUAAAUAUGGUUUUACCCAAACACAGUAAUUGAUACUCAAAGAAAAUUAUAUUUAGCCAUGGCAUUAUGUACUUCUGUUACUGCAGGUCUUGGUACCCACCUAUUUGAGAGGUAUGUGACUUUCUGAUUUACUUCAAAAAAGCAUAAUGAUUUAGUAUCCUGUCUUAGGCAAGAUUUGAUAAAAUCGGAGCCCUUUUUCUCUCUCAUGAUUCACUUUAGUAACUUUGGACUACUUAUUUACUUUUUAGUUCUGUUGCCUCUGGUAAUCCUGUAUAAAACCUUAUGGAAUACAGUAAUAAACAGUGUAAAAGAGUUUGAAUGUCGAGAAUGGAAAAUUUCAGAAUCAAUCCUCCAGUUCAGUGAUUCUUAACUUCGUUAAUAACUGUUAUUAACAUUAAAUAAGUCAGCUUUUAUUGACAGUUAAUGAAGAAGUGAACCUAAAGGAGUAGUUACAAAAUUUUGGAAAUUUUAUGAUUUUUGUACUUCAAGAAAGAACUUUGAACUUCUUUGAAAGGAAGGAAAUUAAAUGGGGGAAAGAAAAAAAAAAAAGAGGUUUCCUUCACCCUCCCAAGGAAUUGAGAAAGUUGUAGAAGGGUGCACCAAAAAGAAUCACUGGGUUCUAGGACGUUAGAGAAGUUGAAAAGAGAAAUCUGAUGUUCCUUGCUGAAUUGUCUAAGCAGUGCUAUAAAGUGAAGUGUAGAACAAGGAUUUGGAAGUCAGGUGGGCCCAAUUUCAAAUCCUGACUUGGAUGUUAUUAGCUCUGUGUCCUUGGACAAGGUACUUAAUCUCUUUGAACCUCAGUUUCUUCAUCUGUGAAAUGAAAAUAAGAAGACACACUUCAUAGAGCUGAUGGGAGCAUUCCGUAUGUACAGAGUGUCUCGCAUAGUGCUUGGCACAGUGGCCUGCGUAAAUGUUAGGUACCCCCUCACAGCAGCAGCCCCCUCAACAAGUCAUUUUUACUUCUCUGGAUUCUUGGCCAGCAAUAAAACCAUUAAUUCAAGCAGCUUGAAUCUAAAGUGUUACUCAGUACUUUGAUACCUGGUGUUAGUGAAAGAGAAAAAUGAUGCCUAAUUUUGUAAAUCAUUGCUAAAAUUAAUAGGCUUGGCAGAAUGACUUGUGUGUAUAUAGAAGACAUUUUAUCUAAAUUAUUUCUAUGAUCAUUAUACAUACCUACUCUCCCCUUCUUUUUUUUUCUUUUAUUUAACAUGACAUAAAAUAUGGAGUGGGAAAUAAAUAAGGCAGAUAGUUUUCACUUCUAUGAAAAGUGGUUGCUAGGGUUUCCACAGUUGAAAUCACUGCUUUCAAGGAGAUUAUGGUUUGCAGCGUACUGUAGGAGGAUAAGAAUGAUAAUGAAUGGUAACAGUACUAUGUGCUAGUUCACUCAUGUCAGUCCUAUGAGGUAUGACUCCUAUUAGCUUCAUUUUGCAGAUAAUGAAACCGAAGCACAGAGAGGUUAAUAAUAACAUUCCUGUUUGCAUAGUUAGGAAGUAGCAGAGCCAGGAUUUGAACGCAGACAGUCUGGGUCUAGAGGCCACUCUCUUAACCAGUGUCUUACAGGACUAAGAGAAGACGGUCCUUUAAAUGGGAGCAAAUGUCUUAAAGCUGUGGUAGGUUGUUUACUUUUAGAUUUGCUUGACAGGUAUUCUGAGAGAAGCCUCACAAAGUGUAUCGGAAUUACUAUUGAGACCAGACCAGAUUAUUGUAUGAAGCGGCAUUUAAGUGACAUGUUGACCUAUGGCUGCACAAGGCUGGAGAUUGGGGUGCAGAGUGUCUACGAAGAUGUGGCCAGAGAUACCAACAGGGGCCACACUGUGAAGGCAGUAUGUGAGUCAUUUCACCUGGCCAAGGAUUCUGGGUUCAAAGUCGUGGCUCAUAUGAUGCCUGAUCUGCCAAAUGUGGGACUAGAGAGAGACAUUGAACAGUUUACAAAAAACUCAAAGGGAAUAUGAACAGACUGUAUGCCUUUUCUGACUGCAUCCCAGCAAAUAAAGGAGUGACAAAAUAGAGCUAACAUUUCUCUCUAGAGGAAAAUUCUCUGCAAAAUUAAAUUGCCUUAAAAUAAAGAAUUUCUACAAAUCAGUAAGAAAAAAGCAGACAGCCCAAUAGGAGAAUGGCAAAAACAUUUGAACAAGCACUUCACAAAUAGGAUAUUCAAACAGCCGAUAAACAUAUUUAAAAGUUCUCAAAGUCAUUAAUCUUCAAAGAAAUGAAAUUUAAAACUAUGAUGCAUUCCUACUAUAUAUUCACCAGAAAAGCUAAGAAGAGCUAAAAUGAAAAAAAGACUAAAUCAGAUGUUGCUAAGAGUAUGGAGCAACUAGAAUUCUUCAUUUACUGCUAGUACAUUGGUACAUCAUGUAUGACAUUAUCUACUAAGGGUGAAUAUAUGCAUACCCCAUGACCCAGUAAUUGUACUCCUAGAUGUAUACUCAACAGAAAUGCCUACACAUAUUUACCAAAAGUCACGGUCACAAAUUACUAUUGGUAAUAUCAUCAGAGUGGCAACAAGUGUCCAUUUAACAACAGAAUGCAUAAAUAAAUUAUGAUGUAGUCAUACAAUGAAAUACUAUAAAAAAUAAUAAAUUAAUUACAACCUCAUGCAACAACAUGACUGAUUCUUUUCAACAUAAAAUUGAGCAAAGGAAACCUGAUCCAAAAGACUACCCAACAUACAAUUCUGUUAAUAUGAAGUCCAAAAACUUUGGGUGGAAUUGUAACUGGAAACAGGCAUGAGGUGGGCUUCUAAGGUUUUGAUAUUCUUUUUCUUAAUUUGAGUGUCUGG